AUGUCACCACAAACAGAAACUAAAGCAGGUGUUGGAUUUAAAGCUGGUGUUAAAGAUUAUAAAUUGACUUACUACACCCCAGAGUAUGAAACUAAGGAUACUGAUAUCUUGGCAGCAUUCCGAGUAAGUCCUCAGCCUGGGGUUCCGCCCGAAGAAGCAGGGGCUGCAGUAGCUGCCGAAUCUUCUACUGGUACAUGGAAAACUGUUUGGACUGAUGGACUUACCAGUCUUGAUCGUUACAAAGGACGAUGCUAUCACAUCGAGCCUGUUGCUGGGGAAGACAGCCAAUGGAUCUGUUAUGUAGCUUAUCCAUUAGACCUAUUUGAAGAGGGUUCCGUUACUAACAUGUUUACUUCCAUUGUAGGUAACGUAUUUGGUUUCAAAGCCCUACGUGCUCUACGUUUGGAGGAUCUACGAAUUCCCCCUACUUAUUCAAAAACUUUCCAAGGCCCGCCUCAUGGUAUCCAAGUUGAAAGAGAUAAGUUGAACAAGUAUGGUCGUCCUUUAUUGGGAUGUACUAUUAAACCAAAAUUGGGAUUAUCCGCAAAAAAUUAUGGUAGAGCGUGUUAUGAGUGUCUACGUGGUGGACUUGAUUUUACCAAAGAUGAUGAAAACGUAAACUCACAACCAUUUAUGCGCUGGAGAGACCGUUUUGUCUUUUGUGCCGAAGCUAUUUAUAAAUCACAGGCCGAAACCGGUGAAAUCAAGGGGCAUUACUUGAAAGCGACUGCGGGUACAUGUGAAGAAAUGAUUAAGAGAGCUGUAUUUGCAAGAGAAUUAGGGGUUCCUAUUGUAAUGCAUGACUACUUAACUGGGGGAUUCACCGCAAAUACUACUUUGGCUCAUUAUUGCCGCGACAAUGGCCUACUUCUUCACAUUCACCGUGCAAUGCAUGCAGUUAUUGAUAGACAGAAAAAUCAUGGUAUGCAUUUCCGUGUAUUAGCUAAAGCAUUGCGUAUGUCUGGGGGAGAUCAUAUCCACUCCGGUACAGUAGUAGGUAAGUUAGAAGGGGAACGCGAAAUGACUUUAGGUUUUGUUGAUUUAUUGCGCGAUGAUUUUAUUGAAAAAGAUCGUGCUCGCGGUAUCUUUUUCACUCAGGACUGGGUAUCCAUGCCAGGUGUUAUACCGGUAGCUUCAGGUGGUAUUCAUGUUUGGCAUAUGCCAGCUCUGACCGAAAUCUUUGGGGACGAUUCUGUAUUACAAUUUGGUGGAGGAACUUUAGGACAUCCUUGGGGAAAUGCACCUGGUGCAGCAGCUAAUCGAGUGGCUUUAGAAGCCUGUGUACAAGCUCGUAACGAAGGGCGCGAUCUUACUCGCGAAGGUAAUGAAAUUAUCCGAGCAGCUUGCAAAUGGAGUCCUGAACUAGCCGCAGCUUGUGAAGUAUGGAAGGCGAUCAAAUUCGAGUUCGAGCCGGUAGAUACUAUUGAUAAGUAG
rnacentral:rRNA from 1 species